UCAAGUUAUUAAGGGUGCAGGGCGGAUGCCUUGGCACUAGGAGCCGAUGAAGGACGUGAUAAGCUGCGAUAAGCUUCGGGGAGUUGCACGUAAACUUUGAUCCGAAGAUUUCCGAAUGAGGAAACUCACUUAGAGUAAUGUCUAAGUAUCAUUAAGUGAAUACAUAGCUUAAUGAGGGGAACUCAGGGAACUGAAACAUCUAAGUACCUGAAGGAAGAGAAAGAAAUUCGAUUCCGUAAGUAGCGGCGAGCGAACGCGGAUUAGCCCAAACCAAUAAAGUUUUCUUUAUUGGGGUUGCGGACAUAUCAUAACGAAGAGGUAUCGUAAUUGAAGAGGUUUGGAAAGACCCACCACAGAAGGUAAUAGUCCUGUAUGUUAAACGAGAAGACUUCAGAUAUGAUCCAGAGUACCACGGGACACGUGAAACCCUGUGGGAAGCAGGAGGGACCACCCUCCAAGGCUAAAUACUACCUAGUGACCGAUAGCGUAUAGUACCGUGAGGGAAAGGUGAAAAGAACCCCGGGAGGGGAGUGAAAUAGAACCUGAAACCCUGCACUUACAAGCUGUGGAAGCACAUUUCUUGUGUGACCGCGUACUUUUUGUAGAACGGGCCAACGAGUUACGUUAAGUAGCAAGGUUAAGCACUUAAGGUGCGGAGCCGUAGCGAAAGCGAGUUUUAACUGAGCGUUCAGUUACUUGACGUAGACCCGAAACCGGGCGACCUACCCAUGAGCAGGAUGAAGCGAAAGUAAAAUUUCGUGGAGGUCCGAACCCACGAGCGUUGAAAAGCUCGGGGAUGACUUGUGGGUAGCGGUGAAAUUCCAAUCGAGCCCGGAGAUAGCUGGUUCUCCCCGAAAUAGCUUUAGGGCUAGCCUCAAGGUGAGAGAUACGGAGGUAGAGCACUGAAUGUCCUAGGGGGUAUUGCACCUACCGAAGACUAUCAAACUCCGAAUGCCGUCAUCUUAUACUUGGGAGUCAGACUGUGGGUGAUAAGAUUCAUAGUCGAAAGGGCAACAGCCCAGAUCGUCAGCUAAGGUCCCUAAAUGUAAGUUAAGUGGUAAAGGAUGUGGGAUUGCACAGACAACCAGGAUGUUGGCUUAGAAGCAGCCACUCAUUCAAAGAGUGCGUAAUAGCUCACUGGUCGAGUGAUCCUGCGCCGAAGAUUUCCGGGGCUAAAACUUACUACCGAAGCUACGGCAUCAGUAAUGAUGGGUAGGGGAGCUUCCCAUACGGGUUGAAGCAUGACCGUAAGGACAUGUGGACAGUAUGGGAGUGAGAAUGUUGGCAUGAGUAGCGAGAUGUGGGUGAGAAUCCCACAGGCCGUAAACCCAAGGUUUCCAGGGGAAGGUUCGUCCGCCCUGGGUUAGUCGGGACCUAAGCUGAGGCCGAAAGGCGUAGGUGAUGGACAACAGGUUGAUAUUCCUGUACUACCGAUAACCGUUUGAGAGAAGGGAUGACACAGUAGGAUAAGCUAAGCACACUGUUGGUUAUGUGUGCCCAAGCAUUGAGGCAGUCAAAGUAGGCAAAUCCGCUUUGAUAAUGCUGGGAUGUGAUGGGGAGCGAAAUUUAGUAGCGAAGUAGCUGAUUUCACACUGUCAAGAAAAGUCUCUAUCGAGGUUAAAGGUACCCGUACCGCAAACCGACACAGGUGGGUGAGGAGAGUAUCCUAAGGCCAGCGAGAGAACUGUUGUUAAGGAACUCGGCAAAAUGACCCCGUAACUUAGGGAUAAGGGGUGCCACCAUCAGGUGGCCGCAGAGAAUAGGCCCAAGCGACUGUUUACCAAAAACAUAGGUUUCUGCUAAGUCGCAAGACGAUGUAUAGGAGCUGACGCCUGCCCGGUGCUGGAAGGUUAAGGGGAUCUGUUAGAGCAAUCGAAGCAGUGAACUUAAGCCCCAGUAAACGGCGGCCGUAACUAUAACGGUCCUAAGGUAGCGAAAUUCCUUGUCGGGUAAGUUCCGACCCGCACGAAAGGCGUAACGAUUUGGGCACUGUCUCAACAACAGACUCGGUGAAAUUGUAAUUCCGGUGAAGAUGCCGGAUACCUGCGACAGGACGGAAAGACCCCAUGGAGCUUUACUGUAGCUUGACAUUGGGUCUUGGUACUACAUGUACAGGAUAGGUGGGAGGCUUUGAAACCAGGACGCCAGUUUUGGCGGAGCCAUCCUUGGGAUACCACCCUUGUAGUACUGGGACUCUAACCAUAGGCCAUGAAUCUGGUCUUGGGACACUGUCAGG
rnacentral:rRNA from 1 species